UCCGUAAGGUGAACCUGGCGGAAGGAUCAUUACCCGAGUGCGGGUCCUCGUGGCCCAACCUCCCACCCGUGACUAUUGUACCUUGUUGCUUCGGCGGGCCCGCCAGCCCUGCUGGCCGCCGGGGGGCGUCUCGCCCCCGGGCCCGUGCCCGCCGGAGACCCCAACAUGAACCCUGUUCUGAAAGCUUGCAGUCUGAGUGUGAUUCUUUGCAAUCAGUUAAAACUUUCAACAAUGGAUCUCUUGGUUCCGGCAUCGAUGAAGAACGCAGCGAAAUGCGAUAACUAAUGUGAAUUGCAGAAUUCAGUGAAUCAUCGAGUCUUUGAACGCACAUUGCGCCCCCUGGUAUUCCGGGGGGCAUGCCUGUCCGAGCGUCAUUGCUGCCCUCAAGCCCGGCUUGUGUGUUGGGUCCUCGUCCCCCGGCUCCGGGGGACGGGCCCGAAAGGCAGCGGCGGCACCGCGUCCGGUCCUCGAGCGUAUGGGGCUUUGUCUUCCGCUCUGCAGGCCCGGCCGGCGCCCGCCGGGGCAAUUUUUUGCAACCUUUUAUUUUUCCAGGAGACCUCGAUCAGUAGGAACCCGUAUA
rnacentral:rRNA from 1 species